rnacentral:tRNA from 3 species
GCCAGUGUAGCUCAGUGGCAGAGCAACGGUUUCGUAAACCGUAGGUCGUCGGUUCGACCCCGACCACUGGCUCCA